rnacentral:tRNA from 1 species
GCCGAAGUGGCGGAAUAGGCAGACGCGCUACGUUCAGGGCGUAGUGGGCAUUGGCUCGUGUGGGUUCGACUCCCACCUUCGGCA